GCCUUUAUAGUCAGAAAACCUUGGUGUUCUUGAGCAUGUCACAAUGAGCUAGGUCUCCAUGGAGAAGGUAAACAAGGCAACUGCUCAUCAGAUGAGGGUAAAUGGCCUAAACUCUCUUAGUACGGCUGAUAUUAUGAAGAAGGAUAGAGACGAUAAGGUAGGGUUCUUGAGCCUGCCAGUCACGGAAAGGAGCCCCAACCCUGGGAGCGAUGGUGUACACGUAGAAUUCCCGGCAGAUCUUACACCAGGUUGUGGUGGCAAGGGCAGGCAGGAGACGCCUGGCAAACUGUCAUGGUAUUUCCCAAAAACAUAUUAAAUGGAAACCUCUAAGAGAAACUGUGACUUCUGUGUGUCACAUAAACUAAAUGUCUAUGUGAAGUUAGCCAAGGUCCUCCUCAUUGCUGGCCACAAAUGCUCCAAGACCUCAUUCGGGUCCCCCUGCCAAAAUUUACAAUAAACACACUAAAUCUUG